UCGGGAAUUUUGGGCAAUGGGGGAAACCCUGACCCAGCAACGCCGCGUGAAGGAUGAAGUAUUUCGGUAUGUAAACUUCGAAAGAAUAGGAAGAAUAAAUGACGGUACUAUUUAUAAGGUCCGGCUAACUACGUGCCAGCAGCCGCGGUAAUACGUAGGGACCAAGCGUUGUUCGGAUUUAUUGGGCGUAAAGCGUUCGUAGGCGGUUUGUUAAGUCUGAUGUUAAAUCCUGAGGCUCAACCUCAGCAUGGCAUUGGAAACUGGCAGGCUAGAGUAUGGUAGAGGCAAGGGGAAUUCCCGGUAUAGCGGUGAAAUGCGUAGAUAUCGGGAGGAACACCAGUGGCGAAAGCGCCUUGCUGGACCAUUACUGACGCUAAGGAACGAAAGCCAGGGUAGCGAAAGGGAUUAGAUACCCUUGUAGUCCCUGAGCGGGCUGGCAAGGCGCAU
rnacentral:rRNA from 1 species